AAGUCGUAACAAGGUUUCCGUAGGUGAACCUGCGGAAGGAUCAUUAAGAUGCGGCGCCUCAUUCAUGGCGUCGACUCACUUAUCCACACCCACUCUGAGUUCCUUGCCUGUUGCUUCCGUGAGGGGUCCCUCCCUCGCGAGUAAGAAGCACCUUGAAACGCGGAAUACAAAUGUCUUCAGUCUGACUAUGUAUGUAACAAUUGUUAAAACUUUCAGCAACGGAUCUCUUGGUUCUGGCAUCGAUGAAGAACGCAGCGAAAUGCGAUAAGUAAUGUGAAUUGCAGACUUCAGUGAAUCAUCGAAUCUUUGAACGCACAUUGCGCCCCUCGGCAUUCCGGGGGGCACACCUGUCCGAGCGUCAUUUCACAAAUUCAAGCCAGGCUUGUUGAUGGGCCACGCCCAAAGGGGCGGGUCUGAAAAAAAGUGGCGGCAGUUCACAGCCCCGAGCGUAGUACAACAUGCUCCCCGCUCAAGGGGUCUGUGGACGAGACCGAACAGAAAAAGUAUGCGUUUGCCGCAGCUUGACCUCGGAUCAGGUGGGGAUACCCGCUGAACUUAAGCAUAUCAAUAAGCGGAGGAAAAGAAACCAACAGGGAUUGCCUCAGUAACGGCGAGUGAAGCGGCAGCAGCUCAAAUUUGAAAUCAGGCCUCCUUGGGGUCCGAGUUGUAAUUUGCAGAGGAUGCUUCGGGCGUGCCUCCGGUUCAAGUUCCUUAGAACAGGACGUCGCAGAGGGUGAGAACCCCGUGUUAAACUGGAUUGGCCGCCCAUGUGAAGCCCCUUCUACGAGUCGAGUUGUUUGGGAAUGCAGCUCCAAAUGGGUGGUAAAUUUCAUCUAAAGCUAAACAUUGGCCAGAGACCGAUAGCGCACAAGUAGAGCGAUCGAAAGAUGAAAAGCACUUUGAAAAGAGAGUUAAACAGCACGUGAAAUUGUUGAAGGGGAAGCGCUCGCAAUCAGACACGGGGGCAGGAGAUAGGGCCGGCGCAUGCGCAACCCUCACUCUCCAGCCUUCCGGGUCAGCAUCGGUGUGGGCGGCUGAACAAGGGCCCGGGAACGUGGCUCUCAGGAGUGUUAUAGCCCGGGACGUCAUUUGGCCUGCCUGCACCGAGGACCGCGCCAUGCGCCAGGAUGCUGACAUAAUGAUUGUGAGCGACC
rnacentral:rRNA from 1 species